rnacentral:rRNA from 1 species
CCUACGGGAGGCAGCAGUGAGGAAUAUUGGUCAAUGGGCGAGAGCCUGAACCAGCCAAGUAGCGUGAAGGAUGACUGCCCUACGGGUUGUAAACCUCUUUUAUCAAGGAAUAAAGUGAGUCACGUGUGCCUUUUUGUAUGUACUUUAUGAAUAAGCAUCGGCUAACUCCGUGCCAGCAGCCGCGGUAAUACGGAGGAUCCGAGCGUUAUCCGGAUUUAUUGGGUUUAAAGGGUGCGUAGACGGGUUGUUAAGUCAGUUGUGAAAGUUUGCGGCUCAACCGUAAAAUUGCAGUUGAUACUGGCAGCCUUGAGUACGGUUGAGGUAGGCGGAAUGCGUGGUGUAGCGGUGAAAUGCUUAGAUAUCACGAAGAACUCCGAUUGCGAAGGCAGCUUACUAGACUGCCACUGACAUUGAUGCUCGAAAGUGUGGGUAUCAAACAGGAUUAGAUACCCUAGUAGUC